GCUGGUAAAAGAAAAACGGAAAUGUUACUAAUAACAGCAACACGCAAACGCGCUAGAAUGUGCGGUUGAACCACUGUGAUCCGUGGCAGCGACACGCAGCAAAGCAGCCACUGCGGCGGCAGUCUAACACAAAAAAAAGAAGAGAAAAACGAAGAAAAAGGAAAAAAUUAAACAAGUUUUCGUGAUGCGGUGGCCGUUGGAAAUUUGCGUUUAAAGAGUUAAGGCUGCGCCCAGCCAGCCGCGAGAAAAAGUGCAAUCAAACAAUUAAACAAAAAUGAUAAACAAAAUCCGCGAAGGAGUCGAUUUUAAAGCUGUAAUUGUGUCGUGAGAGUGAUGAGUGUGUGUGCGUGUUGUGAGUGCGUUUUGUGUCUGUUCUCUGUGUGUGCAAAUGACUGCUCAAAAGAAGUGCUGAAGUGGCGGCAGAGGUAGCAGCGGCGGCAGAGGUAGUGUUAGCCAAGCCCAAAACGAACGCGAAUAAAGCUAGCAGUACAAAUUAAAUAUAUAUGAAAAAGUUAUAAACAUAAGAGUGUGAGCCAAGCAGUACUGCACUGAAACAGCAGCAGGAGCAGCGACAUCACAGCACACGCACAGGGAGCGGCAUCUUUUUUGGGGCUGAAGGCGCAGACGGACGGCGGACACGGCGCAAUGACCGAGGAAUUGAAAGUGGUGCUGCGACGCAGCGAACAGCAUUCCGGUUUCGGGUUUUCGCUACUUGGAUCAACUGGACCGCCACAUGUCAUCUACGACAUUGUGGAGAAUUCGCCGGCAGCAGAUUGCGGAUCGGUUGAAGCCGGGGAUGUCAUCCUCAAAGUCAAUGGAACCGAUGUCCAUCGCUAUACAACGAAGGAGGUUCUCAAAUGCCUGCGAUUGUCCGAACAGUUGGUGACCUUGGAACUGAAGCGAGAUCCUAAGCUCAAGGCACGAAUUAAAGAGCAGCUGGCCAACACACAGAGUCCACACUAUGUGGAUAUUGAAUCUCCCAACAUCUACGACUACAGCAGCAGCCACAGCGCCAAUUCCUCACCCAACCAUCGUCCGAACAACAGCAAGGUAUCUUCUCCGGCGGCGGCCAGCGGACUGCGCUUCAAGUCGCCCACACACUUGCCAUCGCUGCGGCAGAACUCCUCGCCGCUGCUGGCCAGUGGAUCCACCACUACGACCACCCACACACACAGCCGCAAUUCCUCGGCCAGCUCCACAAAGAUAAAGGUGGUGGAGACCACCAUUCAGACGACAUCAUCAACCAUCACCACAAGUGCAGCGCCAACGUCGCCAACGGGCUCGGACGCCACCUCGCCCACGCAUCGACCCUCACGCAUUCCACAGGCGCGAAAGUGCCCGGCGCCCAAGCCCGUGCCCGUGCUCCAUUCGCCACAAAAUAAGCGGCCACGCUCCUCGCAGAUACCCACAAAGGCAUCGAACGGCAACGGCAACGGUAACGGGAGUGCACACAACUCCCAGCUGCCACCGCAAUCGUUGCAGCACUCGAACAGCUACAGCGGCAGUCCCGUGACCCGGCCACGGAUCUCCACAGAGCGCGAGCCGGACACAGAGAGGGAACCAGAACCGAAUUCGGCGCCACCGCAAUCGGCGAAGGCGCCACGCUUUGAGGCUUUUAUGAUGACGGGAGAUCUGAUCUUGAAUCUGUCCAGGACACCACAGACCAGCAAUCACCUAACGACCCAGGCCAAGAAGGUUGACAGUCUGCGUGAUUCGCCGAUUCGUCAGGCCAAUUCCCGGAUGAAUGGCGCCCUAGCGCCACGAGCUUCGGGAGAAUCCUCGCCCACAUCCUCUUCCUCGGUGGACUCGCCCACCAACACCAGCUCGGAUUCGGUGAAGCGUGAGGCGAAGCUGCAGCGCAAACAACACCCGCAGCAGCAGCAGCAACAUCAGCAGCAGCGGGACAGCAUCAACAACAGCUACAACCGCAAGGAUUCGCUCACCAACGACACGCUGCUGAUGUGCGAGGAGCUGGAGCGCGAUGAGGAGGGCGAGUAUGUGCUCGAGGAGGACAGCAAGCAUCAGCAUCAGCGUCAACGCCAGCACCAGCAACGCUAUCGUCAGCAGCAGCAGCAGCAACGAUACGAGUACUACCAGAACGAUGACGAGCUGGACGAGGAGCAGGAGCAGGAGGUGGAAGCAGAGGCGGAGGCGGAGGAGGAGCGCGAGGAGGAUCAGACCCACUACGACAUCACCAACAUAGAGACGUACCAGAGCGGGAUGGGGCGCGGCGAUGAGGAUGACAGCGACCGCCAGUGCCUGGUCGAAGACGACGAUGAUGAUGACGAUGCCUACGACGAGGAGGAGAACGAUGCCGGCGACGAGGAUUACUCAACCAAUUCGCUGGGCUCCGGAUCUACGAAGCAGCGACUGCGCGCCCUCAAGCAGCGUGCCGCAACGCGACAACAGCAGCAGCGCAAUCGAGAUGCCGUCGAUUGUGCUGCCCGCAUGCCCGGCUACUCUGCCUCGGGCUCCACCUCGUCCACAACGGUCAAGAGUGAGGCGGCCGGCGGCAUGGGCAUUCCCAUGGGCGUGGGGCUGGGCGCAGCCAAUACCUCGCAGGACGAGACCUCCUUCUCAGUGCCAACAUCGCCCAUUUCGCUGUCGACGCCCCUGAUCGACAAGGAGACGGCCAAUUCGGUGCCCACCAGCCCGGAGCCGAGCUCUUUGGCUCCCGAGUCGAGUAGUGGGGCUGCUGGUGUCGUUGUUGUGCGACGCCACCACAACGGGCAUGUGGUGCGCAAAUGCGAUGCCGCCGGCUUCCGCACCAGCAAGUCCGAGGAUCAUCUGCAGCAGAUCCAGCGCGAGGGCAUUGCGGCUGUGAUACCCAUCGACAUUGAUGAGGAUGUGAAUAGUUCACUCAAUACGCUGCUGGACACGCGUCAGGACUCCGAGGACUCGCAGGCAUCGGAUCGAGAUCGGAUUGUGUGGACCUAUAAUGCACCACUGCAGCCGCAUCAGCUGCAGCAGAUCCAACAGCAGCAGCAGCAACAACAGCUCCAUCAGCAACAGCAGCAACAAAUACUAUUGCAGCAACAGCAACAACAGCAACAGCAGCAACAACAACAGCAGCAGCAGCAGCAAUUCUACGGUCAGCAAUCGCAUUCAAAUUCACAUUCAAGUUCCAUUAGUUCGUCGCCGCAGCAUUCGGCUGCCGGCAGUCCUGCCUCCCCCACAUCGGUGUCCUCGUCGGUGAUGUCCUCGUCGGGCUCAAAGGGUGCCCUCGGUGCCGUGGGUGGCAAUGGCCAGGCAGCGGACCAGCAGCAGCAGCAGCUAGAGCAGCGAGAACAAGGCGGAACAGCCUCCCUGCAGCCGCCCUCCGGCAUGCCCGGUCUGCUAGCCUGUCCAGGGACUGGCAAUGGUGCUGGUGGUGGUGGUGUUGGUUGUGGCAACGAUCUGAGCGUCUCAGAGGCCAUUUCGAAUAUAUCUAGUCCCGACUACCAAGACGACGAUAACUUAUUGAGUUCUCGCGAUAUUCUAGGCGGCAUGGUACUUAGCGAUCCCAGUGACUCGGACUCCACCAUACUCGUCUCGGAUGGGGCCGCCCUGCAGCGCCAGCAGCUCAAGCAACAGCUGCGUGCCCAGCAGCAGCAGCAGAGGGACAGGGACAGAGAUCAGUCGGAGCACAAGGUGGUCAUCCAAGUGCGCGGCAUGGACAACAACGGCGGUGGCGGUGGCGGUGGCAGUGCGGCUCGGUCCGAGGACGAUGUGGUCACGCUGACGGAUGAGCAGCCGCAUACAACGAUGUCGUCGGGGGCUGGGGCGGGGGCGCAGGGCACGCGAGACGCCUCGCCACCCGUCUCCGAUGAUGGCAGCGAUGUGGAAUCACUGCACUCCUACCAUUACUCGCCCAAGGCUGUGGACAUGCCCUCGGCCAUACGCCUGGCUAAAAGACUGUAUUCCCUCGAUGGUUUCAAGAAGAGCGACGUCUCCCGGCAUCUCAGCAAGAACAACGACUUUAGCAGGGCUGUGGCCGAUGAGUAUCUAAAGCAUUUCACCUUUGAGAAAAAGUCGCUGGACCAGUCGCUGCGCGAAUUCCUGCAACAGUUCUCGCUCUCCGGCGAGACCCAGGAGCGAGAGCGGGUGCUAGUGCACUUCUCGAAACGUUUUCUGGACUGCAAUCCGGGUACCUUCAACUCGCAGGACGCGGUGCACACGCUGACCUGUGCCAUAAUGCUUCUGAACACGGAUCUGCAUGGGCAGAAUAUGAAUCGUAAAAUGAGCUGUGCGGAAUUUGUCGACAAUCUGGCAGAUCUCAACGAUGGCGAGAACUUUCCCAAGGAUAUACUCAAGUUGUUGUAUCAGGCCAUCAAAACCAAGCCGCUGGAAUGGGCGCUAGAUGACGAUGCGGGUGAUCUGCAGCAGCGGGGCAACAAUGCACUGGGAAAUGUUGGACAGAAUCCCUUCCUGGAUGCACCCGAACUGGCCACCGCUGUGGAGUACAAGAAGGGCUAUGUGAUGCGCAAAUGCUGCUACGAUAGCAGCUACAAAAAGACUCCCUUCGGCAAACGCUCCUGGAAGAUGUUCUACUGCACGCUGCGUGAUCUGGUUCUGUAUCUGCAUAAGGAUGAGCAUGGUUUUCGCAAGAGUCAAAUGUCCGACAAUCUGCACAAUGCAAUACGCAUACAUCACGCCCUGGCCACCAAGGCCAAUGACUACACCAAGAAGCAACAUGUGUUCCGUCUGCAGACAUCCGAUCAAGCCGAGUAUCUCUUCCAGACAAGCGACUCCAAGGAGCUCCACUCGUGGGUCGAGACGAUCAACUACGUGUGCGCCGCCAUUUCGGCGCCGCCACUCGAGGGCGGGGUGGGCAGCCAGAAGCGAUUCCAGCGCCCACUCUUGCCCAGCAAGCAGACAAAACUGAUGGUGAAGGAGCAAUUGGAGUCGCACGAGGUGCAGCUGGCGCAGCUGGAGCAGGAGCUCAAUGAGCACAAGAAGGGGCCGAUACCCAGCAAGGGCUUGCCACUGCAGAACUACAAGGAGAAGGAGAGCUAUUUGCAAUACGAACUGCGUCGCUACCGCACCUAUGUGAGCAUACUUAGCGCCAAAAUGCUAGCCGAUCAGCAGCAAUUGGAGCUGCAGGCGCUGCAGCCCACGCAGGCAAUCCUUGACGAAGAAGCCGACACAUUCCCCGUGGGCAACAGCUGCUCGCCCACCACGCCGCCAAGUAUUAACAUUCAGGAGCAACAGCAGAAGGAACAGCAGCGGCAGCCACAUUCAUCGAACAGAUGGCUCGAUGUCUUCUGCUGCUGUAGCGUGCUCUGGCGGCAUUUCCAAAAGCCUUUAAACGAGUAGUAGACUCUUGCCUGGAGGCUAGCGAUCCGCGGACAGCAGUCCAACGAAGGUGCUUCUCUCUCUGUAAAUGACCCGACCUGUACCUACUAGCCUGUCUUGAAUAAAGGAGAAAAAAUUCGUUUAAUUACUUUUCGUUUCGCUCUUGAUUUCGAUCAUUUCAACCCUGCAACACACAAACAAACACAUACACAUCCGCAUCCGCCUCCUGGCAGUCGAGAUGAUGCAGUGAUGCAAUGCUCAUGAAUAUAGAAUACUCCGAAUAUGCCACGCUGCCACUUAACACCACACCACACACUCGCAUAAACAGCACUCAUGCAGCAGGGAGCGGGAGCGGUAAAGAGAGAGAGAGGCUCCAACCACACACCCACCCCAUCACACACACACUCACGCGUUCCGGCUGUGCCGUGCCGUGCCGUGCGGCACCCACUCAACAAACAAACACAACAAAAAAUCUGCCAAUACAUUUAUCCUACUUUACCGUUCGAAUGAUUCCAAGUGCCGGAUCUUAAGGUUAAGCGGAAGAUCAAUUUGAGAUGAUUAAGACUACAAAUACGAACCCAAUUUGUAAUCGAAUUUGUUAACUUGUAUGAGAUGGUUUUAUGUACUAUGUAAUCUGAGACGGUCGUUCAACAGAGAUAUUUGGCAUUUCGAUUUAGAUUUGUUUGCCAGGGAUUCUGUUGAACGACCGUUUAAGAACGUGAGGGCAAAUCGCUUAUACACAUAGAUUAUAAUUACGAGAAUUGAUAUACAAUACUUACAUCAUUACCUAUGCUAUCAUUAUAAAUGAUAAAAAUAAAUUAUAAAUUAUUGAACAAUUUCGCUACACACACACCACACACACACACACACGCGCGAACAACUGAAGAACAGUAACAAUAAAACGAUGAGAGGAUCAGAAGAUCAGAGGAGCACAUUAGCUACCAUUAUCAUAAGCAAUAAUCGUACAUAUAUCAUACAUACAUACAUAGCACACAUAUGCUUCACAUAUAUGACUCGUUCAUUGGCCUUUUUGCGAUAGAUUAUCCUAUUUGAUCUGUGUAGGGAACACAACAACAACUUACUCCAAUAUUAUGUGCGGAUGAGUAAUAUUAAUUUGAGCAAUUAUUGGUUGAUUACGCCACAUGUCCAUGUAGCUAGAAUAUGAAAUUGAUAUUUGAUGGGGAAACAAUAAAUCUAAAGAACAACAAAACAUACAUAUACGAGUAUAUAG